GACGAACGCUGGCGGCGUGCUUAACACAUGCGAGUCGAACGGAAAGGCCCUGCUUGCAGGGUGCUCGAGUGGCGAACGGGUGAGUAACACGUGGGUGAUCUGCCCCUUACUUUGGGAUAAGCCUGGGAAACUGGGUCUAAUACUGGAUAGGACCAUGCUGUAGGUGGUGUGGUGGAAAGAUUAGUUUCGGUAAGGGAUGAGCUCGCGGCCUAUCAGCUUGUUGGUGGGGUAAUGGCCUACCAAGGCGUCGACGGGUAGCCGGCCUGAGAGGGUGGACGGCCACAUUGGGACUGAGAUACGGCCCAGACUCCUACGGGAGGCAGCAGUGGGGAAUAGUGCACAAUGGGCGCAAGCCUGAUGCAGCGACGCCGCGUGGGGGAUGACGGCCUUCGGGUUGUAAACUCCUUUCAGCCAUGACGAAGCCCUUGUGGUGACGGUAGUGGUAGAAGAAGCACCGGCUAACUACGUG
rnacentral:rRNA from 1 species